rnacentral:rRNA from 1 species
CCUACGGGUGGCAGCAGUGAGGAAUAUUGGUCAAUGGACGAGAGUCUGAACCAGCCAAGUAGCGUGAAGGAUGACUGCCCUAUGGGUUGUAAACUUCUUUUAUAAAGGAAUAAAACGAGGCACGUGUGCCUUUUUGCAUGUACUUUAUGAAUAAGGAUCGGCUAACUCCGUGCCAGCAGCCGCGGUAAUACGGAGGAUCCGAGCGUUAUCCGGAUUUAUUGGGUUUAAAGGGAGCGUAGAUGGGUUGUUAAGUCAGUUGUGAAAUUUUGCGGCUCAACCGUAAAAUUGCAAUUGAUACUGGCAGUCUUGAGUGCAGUUGAGGUAGGCGGAAUGCGUGGUGUAGCGGUGAAAUGCUUAGAUAUCACGAAGAACCCCGAUUGCGAAGGCAGCUUACUAAACUGUGACUGACAUUGAUGCUCGAAAGUGUGGGUAUCAAACAGGAUUAGAUACCCUUGUAGUC